rnacentral:rRNA from 1 species
AACGUAACAAGGUUUCCGUAGGUGAACCUGCGGAAGGAUCAUUAUCGAACAGAGAGAAGAGGGACUCGUAGCCACGACCACCGGGCGUGUGCACGUCCCUCUUUUCGACCACACUACAUACACCUCGUGCACCCUUUGUAGGUCCCUCGAGAGAAGGAUCUAUGUCUUUUCAUUCAUUCUCCAUGUCGUAUGUCCCAUGAAUAAAACAUUAUUAUUAUACAACUUUCAGCGAUGGAUCUCUUGGCUCUCGCAUCGAUGAAGAACGCAGCGAAUCGCGAUAUGUAAUGUGAAUUGCAGAUAUUCAGUGAAUCAUCGAAUCUUUGAACGCACCUUGCGCUCCUUGGUAUUCCGAGGAGCAUGCCUGUUUGAGUGUCAUUAAUUUCUCAACCAUGUUGGGGGGCUUGAUUGACCCCCCAUGGCUUGGACUUUGAGGGCUGCCGGCCUUGACAUCGUCGUGUUUGUUUGCACUGGUGAACAUCAUGUCAUUUAGGUCGGCUCUCUUGAAAUGCAUUAGUGGAUCGACUUGCAAUCCUGGGACAGUAUGGUUCGAGACAUGCACGGUCUUCCGUCGACGUGAUGAUGAUCGUCGUCGGGGCUCUGUGUGAUCCUCGGGGACCCUUAUCCUUUCUUGCAUGCCUGUUUGCUUCCAACCUCUCUCUCUCUAUUUUGACAUCUGACCUCAAAUCAGGAGACACCG